GGGAUCUUAGCUCAGCUGGGAGAGCAUCUGCCUUACAAGCAGAGGGUCACAGUUUCGAGCCCUGUAGGUCCCA
rnacentral:tRNA from 1 species